GAUGAAGAACGUAGCAAAAUGCGAUAAGUAAUGUGAAUUGCAGAAUUCAGUGAAUCAUCGAAUCUUUGAACGCACAUUGCGCCCGCCAGUAUUCUGGCGGGCAUGCCUGUUCGAGCGUCAUUUCAACCCUCAAGCACAGCUUGGUGUUGGGACUCGCGUUAAUUCGCGUUCCCCAAAUUGAUUGGCGGUCACGUCGAGCUUCCAUAGCGUAGUAGUAAAACCCUCGUUACUGGUAAUCGUCGCGGCCACGCCGUUAAACCCCAACUUCUGAAUGUUGACCUCGGAUCAGGUAGUAAUACCCGCUGAACUUAAGCAUAUCAAUAAGCGGAGGA
rnacentral:misc_RNA from 1 species